UAAAUAGUCAUUAUUAGGGCCCUAUAAAUUAUGCGAAGAUGCGGAAACCCGCAUAAUUCACAAUUAUCCGCAUAAUUUACAAUUUUCCGCGUAAUCGCAGCAUAUCUGUAUAAUUUUUAUUUUUCAGCAAAAUGUAUUCGUUUACCAGAUAAAUUUCUCCUUAAGGGUUUUUUUUAAAUUGAAAUAUAUCUUCUUUUUCAUUUCCAAGAAUCUUUUUGGUCAG